GGGCCCGCACAAGCGGAGGAACAUGUGGUUUAAUUCGAUGAUACGCGAGGAACCUUACCCGGGUUUGAACGCAUUUCGACGGUAGUGGAAACAUUACUUCUAGCAAUAGCGAUUUGCGAGGUGCUGCAUGGUUGUCGUCAGCUCGUGCCGUGAGGUGUCGGCUUAAGUGCCAUAACGAGCGCAACCCUCAUUGAUAGUUACCAUCAGGUGAUGCUGGGGACUCUAUCAAGACUGCCGGCGUAAGCUGUGAGGAAGGUGGGGAUGACGUCAAAUCAGCACGGCCCUUACAUCCGGGGCUACACACGUGUUACAAUGGUUGGGACAAAGGGCAGCUACCGUGCGAGCGGAUGCUAAUCCCAAAACCCAGUCUCAGUUCGGAUCGAAGUCUGCAACCCGACUUCGUGAAGCUGGAUUCGCUAGUAAUCGCGCAUCAGCCAUGGCGCGGUGAAAUCG
rnacentral:rRNA from 1 species